rnacentral:rRNA from 1 species
ANACNCUGGCGGCGUGUCUUAAGCAUGCAAGUCGAGCGGCAGGCGCAGCAAUGCGCUGAGAGCGGCGGACUGGUGAGUAACGCGUGGGUAAUCUACCUUUGGCAUGGGGAUAGCCACUAGAAAUAGUGGGUAAUACCGAAUACGUUCCCUGGGGGGAGGUUUCAGGGAAGAAAGGGUGCUACGGCACCGGCCGGAGAUGAGCUCGCGUCCCAUUAGCUAGUUGGUGAGGUAACGGCCCACCAAGGCGAUGAUGGGUAGCCGGCCUGAGAGGGUGUACGGCCACACUGGGACUGAGAUACGGCCCAGACUCCUACGGGAGGCAGCAGCUAAGAAUAUUCCGCAAUGGACGAAAGUCUGACGGAGCGACGCCNCGUGGAUGAUGAAGGCCGAAAGGUUGUAAAGUCCUUUUGCUGGGGAAGAAUAAGUGUGGGAGGGAAUGCCCGCAUGAUGACAUGAACCGGCGAAUAAGCCCCGGCCAACUACGUGCCAGCAGCCGCGGUAACACGUAGGGGGCGAGCGUUGUUCGGAAUUACUGGGCGUAAAGGGCAUGUAGGCGGUCUGGU